AUUGAACGCUGGCGGCAUGCCUUACACAUGCAAGUCGAACGGUAACGGGCCUUCGGGUGCCGACGAGUGGCGAACGGGUGCGUAAUACAUCGGAACGUGCCCGAUCGUGGGGGAUAACGAGGCGAAAGCUUUGCUAAUACCGCAUACGAUCUACGGAUGAAAGCAGGGGACCGCAAGGCCUUGCGCGGACGGAGCGGCCGAUGGCAGAUUAGGUAGUUGGUGGGAUAAAAGCUUACCAAGCCGACGAUCUGUAGCUGGUCUGAGAGGAUGAUCAGCCACACUGGGACUGAGACACGGCCCAGACUCCUACGGGAGGCAGCGGUGGGGAAUUUUGGACAAUGGGCGCAAGCCUGAUCCAGCCAUGCCGCGUGCAGGAUGAAGGCCUUCGGGUUGUAAACUGCUUUUGUACGGAACGAAAAGCCUUCUUUUAAUACAGGAGGGUCAUGACGGUACCGUAAGAAUAAGCACCGGCUAACUACGUG
rnacentral:rRNA from 1 species